GGAGAGGUGCAGGAGCGGUUUAACUGGCAGUCCUGGAAAGACUGUGACCUAGAAAUGGGUCCGCGAGUUCGAAUCUCGCCCUCUCCGCCA
rnacentral:tRNA from 4 species